AGUUUGAUCAUGGCUCGAGGACGAACGCUGGCGGCGUGCUUAACACAUGCAAGUCGAACGGUAAGGCCCUUCGGGGUACACGAGUGGCGAACGGGUGAGUAACACGUGGGUGAUCUGCCCUGCACUUCGGGAUAAGCCUGGGAAACUGGGUCUAAUACCGGAUAGGACUCCUGGCUUCAUGGUUGGGGGUGUAAAGCUUUUGCGGUGUGGGAUGGGCCCGCGGCCUAUCAGCUUGUUGGUGGGGUAAUGGCCUACCAAGGCGACGACGGGUAGCCGGCCUGAGAGGGUGACCGGCCACACUGGGACUGAGAUACGGCCCAGACUCCUGCGGGAGGCAGCAGUGGGGAAUAUUGCACAAUGGGCGCAAGCCUGAUGCAGCGACGCCGCGUGAGGGAUGACGGCCUUCGGGUUGUAAACCUCUUUCAAUAGGGACGAAGCGCAAGUGACGGUACCUAUAGAAGAAGGACCGGCCAACUACGUG
rnacentral:rRNA from 1 species